GGGUGAGUAAUGCAUCGGAACGUACCUUUCAGUGGGGGAUAACGUAGCGAAAGUUACGCUAAUACCGCAUAUUCUGUGAGCAGGAAAGCAGGGGAUCGCAAGACCUUGCGCUGAUGGAGCGGCCGAUGUCAGAUUAGCUAGUUGGUGGGGUAAAGGCUCACCAAGGCGACGAUCUGUAGCGGGUCUUAGAGGAUGAUCCGCCACACUGGAACUGAGACACGGUCCAGACUCCUACGGGAGGCAGCAGUGGGGAAUUUUGGACAAUGGGCGCAAGCCUGAUCCAGCCAUGCCGCGUGAGUGAAGAAGGCCUUCGGGUUGUAAAGCUCUUUCGGCCGGGAAAAAAUCGCUUGGGUUAAUACCCUGAGUGGAUGAUGGUACCGGAAUAAGAAGCACCGGCUAACUACGUGCCAGCAGCCGCGGUAAUACGUAGGGUGCGAGCGUUAAUCGGAGUUACUGGGCGUAAAGCGUGCGCAGGCGGUUUUGUAAGACAGGCGUGAAAUCCCCGGGCUCAACCUGGGAACUGCGUUUGUGACUGCAAGGCUAGAGUAUGGCAGAGGGGGGUGGAAUUCCACGUGUAGCAGUGAAAUGCGUAGAGAUGUGGAGGAACACCAAUGGCGAAGGCAGCCCCCUGGGCCAAUACUGACGCUCAUGCACGAAAGCGUGGGGAGCAAACAGGAUUAGAUACCCUGGUAGUCCACGCCCUAAACGAUGUCAACUAGGUGUUGGGUGGGUAAAACCAUUUGGUACCGUAGCUAACGCGUGAAGUUGACCGCCUGGGGAGUACGGCCGCAAGGUUAAAACUCAAAGGAAUUGACGGGGACCCGCACAAGCGGUGGAUGAUGUGGAUUAAUUCGAUGCAACGCGAAAAACCUUACCUACCCUUGACAUGCCAGGAACUUGCCAGAGAUGGCUUGGUGCCCGAAAGGGAGCCUGGACACAGGUGCUGCAUGGCUGUCGUCAGCUCGCGUCGUGAGAUGUUGGGUUAAGUCCCGCAACGAGCGCAACCCUUGUCGUUAAUUGCCAUCAUUUAGUUGGGCACUUUAACGAGACUGCCGGUGACAAACCGGAGGAAGGUGGGGAUGACGUCAAGUCCUCAUGGCCCUUAUGGGUAGGGCUUCACACGUCAUACAAUGGUCGGUACAAAGGGUUGCCAAGCCGCGAGGCGGAGCCAAUCCCAGAAAGCCGAUCGUAGUCCGGAUCGCAGGCUGCAACUCGCCUGCGUGAAGUCGGAAUCGCUAGUAAUCGUGGAUCAGCAUGUCACGGUGAAUACGUUCCCGGGUCUUGUACACACCGCCCGUCACACCAUGGGAGCGGGUUCCGCCAGAAGUAGGUAGCCUAACCGCAAGGAGGGCGCUUACCACGGCGGG
rnacentral:rRNA from 1 species